rnacentral:lncRNA from 1 species
AUUCAGGCCAGGCCAAGCAGUUUUGGCUUGGUUGGUUGAGCUGAGCGAAGCCGGGCCAAGCUGAGUACAAUCCACUUUGUGUCAGGCCCGCGUUACCCACGUGCGCGCUGAGCCCGUUGACUGUCAUAUUUGGUUCGAUAUAAUGUUCGCGCUAGUUCGCUUUCUAGAUAGUGACCAUGCACAUGACACUCGUAGAUAUGUUGUGCGAGUGGAGGAUAUCCAUGAUUUUCAUCCGAAGCACGAGACGGAUUUCGAUGGCAAGGCAGUGUAUGUCGUUCACUGGGAGGAUGAAGCAAACGGUGACGACACGGGUGAAUAUAAAGCCCAGAUACUUCGACUUGGCGCCACAGAGAAAGAAGCUCGGGAAUCGCCAAAAAGAAUUCCGAUCCCUAAAAUUGCAGUUGAGGAAGGCUCGGACGUUGAAGGAGCUGUGACCAAGAAGGCCACUG